CGGGGCUGUUGGGUUCCGCGGUGGCGGGGUUCUUUGGUGGCUAAGCUUAAGUGGCAGCGGGUGGGCAUGGUCGAGCAGCGGCGGCGGGGUCUGUGGGGGUCGGGGGCGGUGGUAGAGGUGGUGGGUCGCGCUUGGGAAGUGGUGGUUGAGACUUUAGCGGCAGCGGCGGGUGGUAGGUUGUGCGGGGACGGCGUAGACGGCAGGGCGCACUGGUGGCCACGCGUACCUAGGCCGUCCUAGGGCUGGACUGACCUGGUCCCUACUGUAAGCGUCCGUGACCCCAGUAGUGUCUGACGCGGGGUCGGCAGCGACGCCUGACGAGGCGUAGCGGCGGCCAUCUUCGUUAUCUUUGACCACGACCAGCCCAGUCGGGCUGAACCUUGAGGGUGACAGUGACAGUACAGUGGUUCUACUCCUUAGUCCAAGUCUUUAAGGGUGUGUGUUGCGGAUCGUCUCGUAAAAACUGUUCUGUCCUUGGUUCAACGCAUGGACCGGCCCGUACUGGAGGGGCAACUACGACGACUACAACUAGGGCCGUAUCUCCGUUCGGAACAUCACCCGUAGGUACUACAGCACGGGCUUGCGGAACAGCCGCGGCCGCCACGUCAUGAUACUGGGGACGUGUUUACGUGUGUUAGUUAUAGUAAACUUUUGGAUGAUGGAAGUCACUUAACACCUGUUAAAACUCAAGUUCUUGUAUAAGCAAAAUACAAAAUAUACAUUCGAACUUGUCUAAACAACUCUUAAAAGAACGGACUCCCGGUCCCAUCGGUGGUUACCCGGUCGGUUCUCCGGUCAGGUGCAGGAAGACCUCCUCUCACAUGAGGACGAGUUAUGGUAUGGACAAACCCAAGUCUCUAAUCGGAUUAGUCAUGGCAUUGGCAUUCGUCUAUUCCUAUGUUUCCGAGGGAACGUCUCUCAACCGAGACCAGCACGAACUCCGGCGACAGCGAAUACCGGCAACAUGUGGUUCACGUUUCUGCAAAACACUUUUCAAGAUCAUGUCGAUAUGCCACCGGUGGGACUUCAAGAUGAUACCUACAUACGGUUCAAGAUAUUGCCGAUAUACGGCUGACAGUGCGAGGUCGAGCAGCAUAACGACCACCUCGACCACAGCCACGUUGUCGUUCACAGUCCCUGAGGAAGGAGCAACUGUGCCCGCCUCUGCGAGUUCUGCAACCGCGACGUCUCGUAAUAUGCAACAACAGUUCAACCGAGUGAAUAUAACCUUAUUCCUUUUUGUCGACUUCCAGUUUUCUUUAACAAACUCUUCCAGUUUUCAUACAAUUUCAUAUAAAAGACCUUGUGGUUGUGAGAAAACUUUAGUUACGACCGUUCAAAAACGUGGACGCAUGACGUCUUGCUUUCUUUGUAACACAGAAACAACAAGGUACGACUUAAUAACUCGGUUAACUACCUGCGGUACCCGGCUCUUGUUUUAAACUUCUUUAAUUGACUUCUAACGCAACUGAGAACUACCUAGGUACAUACGUACACGCGUUGACUUCAAGUUGAUACCUCACCUCUCGGCCUCCUGCCGCUCGCAGUCCCACUACCUCCUAACACCCGGUUUAGUUUACGGUACGUGCCCGAACGCAAUCACGCGAAACCACACACGCAAGAACCACACCACACUGACGAACUCACACACAAACACACACAUAAUAUCGUUCACAUGAACAACACACCAUGGGG
rnacentral:rRNA from 1 species